rnacentral:lncRNA from 1 species
CCCCUCCCUGGCAGCCAUUUUGUGACGUGCGUCCCCAGCACACUCUCAACAUUUGAAAUGUGCCCACUACUCCAAAAAUGGUUGGAGACCCCUGGUUAAUAUAUCUCAGUUUCAAAGCAGGUGAUGAAGAAAGGCUGUUUUCUUCCUGUGGCCCUGUGGGACCGGUGUCUGUCUCAGAGUGGGAAAUCCUGAACCAGGUGGAUGAGCAAGCAGACUUGUGAGGCUGCUCUGCAUGCUGUCAUUGUAAGUGUAAACAGGGGGCACAUUUGCCAGCACAAACGGGUCAGGCUGAUUCAAGCCAGCCAGUCAGGCCACACAUACAAUGAGGGAGGAAGCAGAAGCUUUUAUGACACACUGACACACCAUGAGUUGAGGGGAGAAACUUAUCAGAGACUCAUUAGGAUAGUGGCCAUACUCUGGGACUGAAAGAAUUUGCUCCCAAUGUUCCUUGCCCUUCUCCCCUGUCAAUUUCAGUGUAGGAUAUUCACCAGACAUCCUCCGAAUAUUUGGAUAUUUCCUGAACAACCACAAUACUAUAUUGAAAGCCCCUGAAUCUUUGUGCAUUUCCCAAAUAAUCCUGAAACAUUUGAUGCUGGUCUUUGGCAUCCAAUGAUACUGGACGUAUCUGAAUAUGUGGAUAUUUCUUGACUAGUCUGACAUCAAAAUAUGCUGAAAUUGACAAUCUGAGAUCUUGUCACUGACUAUUGACAGUUGUCAAUACCUCUGAAAAUCAAGUUUUUUGUUAUGUUUACAGUUAAACGUUCACAAAUGCUAUUUCAGAUUUGGAAAAAAAAAACUGACACCCAAUGUUUGAACAGCAGGCUAAAACGUUGCUGCAUUUGGCAUGGUUGCAUAUAUCAUUUCACAUUUAGUACACGCAACGAAUGGUGAAACAUUAUGCUUACCAUGUAGUCCAGCUUUGUGGCCUCACUGCUGGAACUUUCCAAAGUCGAGACUCUGUAGCUUGUCAUCAACUGAAGUAAAAAAAUGGAUUUCGUGGUGGAAGUUGUUCCUUUCAUGGCUGUGGUCAGCUGCUGUAGAGGUGGCAGACUGGUGAAUUGGGUUAGCUGUGGUGGAGAAGAUGGCAUGGCUGAGGAGAUUUGAGGAGAUCUCAGCUUUGUGGUAGCAGCUAACCACAGAAGAGAAGCUGAGGUUGCAGUUUUGGUUAGGUGCUGUGGCACCGGCUGGACAGUUGCAACUGGACGAGUUACAGACUUCUGUUUUGUGGCUGAACUUAGCUGGGUAGGAGAAGGCCACUUGGUGGCUGGGGCUACUGGUUGUCCAGAAGACUCCUCCAUUGCUGAGGGGUUAUGUUGAGGCAUCACUGGCUUCACAUCUGAAGUUAGCUGGUGAGGAGAUUCCAGUUUUGUAGUCGUGGUCGGUGGAGGCAAUGGCUCUGCAGCCAAGGUAAGCUGCUGUGAAGGCAUCCAUUGUAUGAGCAGGUCCAGCUGAGUGGGCCUCAGUUUUGUGCUUAAGGUGGGCUGCUGUGGCGAACUACUUUGCGUCACUGAAAUUAAUGGCGGCAAUGAAGUCUCUGGAUUGGACUUCUCAGUGGUUGAUGGAGGAGAACCCAUCUUGCUCUGAGAUGGGGCCUGAGGUGACACUGACUUCAGGGGUACUGUGGGCUGCUGAGAAAUGAUCUCAUUCAUGGUUGAGGCGUGAGGAACAGUUCUGAGAAACGCAAGGCCUUUUGUAGGUGUGGUUGAAUUCCUCAAUAGCUCUGCCUUACUCCCACUGUUUGCUAAUGUAAGAUCGGAGAACUCUGUUGGUGGGGACAUGUCCACAUUAUUAACCGAACCAGUUUAGGCUCCCUCCCCUCCCAGUUAUGGAAAGGCAGCAUACAAGUAAAUCAAUGUUACGCUCUAAUUCAAAGCAGGCACAGAUAAAGGAAAGGGCCUUACCUAGAAAACAGCGCAGGAGAGUGAAGACAGUCGCUACCAGCAACAAGAGGAGGAAUCCGCUGAGGACUUCCACGAAGCAAAUGCAGCAGCGUUGCACCUUCCUCUUGCGCUGCGGAAAGAGGAUCCAGAAAUAGCCAUUUGACUCUGGCACGUAAUAACUGCCUGCGCUGGAUCAGAUCAAGGGUCCAUCUGUUCCGGCACACUGCCUCCAAUAGGGGACAGAAACCCAAACAAAGGAGAGAAGGCACAUUCUAGUUUAUCAAGGCCCUUCUUAAAAUGUAGUGUGGAGAACGGGACUUCAACUGAUCCCGAUGAUGAUGAUGAUGAUUUCAUGGAUCACCUUCUAAACCACUGUCUCAAGGCAAUUUACAUAUGAUAUAAUUAAAAACAGUUUAAAACACACAUGCACAUACCCAAAACCAAAUGCAUUUAAAACAAGACUAAAGUCAUAGUGUGUGGUUAGAGUGUCAGAAUGGGGCCUGGGAGAUCAAGGUUCAAAUCUCAACUUGGCCAUUAAGCUCACCAGGUGACCCUGGGCCUGUCACCAUCUCUCAGCCUAACCUCCUUCACAGGGUUGCUGUGAGUCUAAAAUGGUGAGGGGACAUACCCACACACUGAAGUUACCUUUUGGUAAUGGAACUGCACCAUUCUGACGUCUUGCAGAGUAGUCACGUUGCUGACAGAGGUAAACCCACCUGAAAUGCAGUAAAUAGAUAUGUACCCAGUCUUAAAACAUUAAGUCUUGGUGGCAAAUUUUGUUGGGUGGCUUUGGAUGCACAGGGAAGUAUUAGAGGCGCUUGGAGUAUUACUCAAAUCAUUAAACGUUUGCAAUCUCAAAGUAGUUUGAGCUAAACAGCCCUUGGAGGGUAACCAGAGGGGUCAGAAUGGGACCUGAGAAAGCCCAGGGUUCAAAUCCCCACUUGGCCAUGAACCUAGGGGCCAGUCACUGCCUCUCAGCCAAAUCUUCCUCACAAGGUUGUUGUGGGGAUUAAAUUAUAGAAUCAUAGAAUUGUAGAGCUGGAAGGGAUCCCAGGGUCAUCUAAUUCAACCCCCUGCAAUGCAGGAAUGCUGAGGGGGAGAACCCUAUAUACCACCUUGAGCUCCUUGGAGAAAAUAGGUGUGCUAUAAAUGGAAUGAAUGAAUGAAUCAUUUGUACAUGAACCAGAACACAGGAACCCUUAAAAAUCCACACUUCCCAGCUAGAGUUCCCGGAAAGAGAAGGGAAAUGUACCAGAAGCAUCCAUGAGGGAAACAACCUCACCAAGAUGCAUCUAUUAGUGAAAAUAGUAUAAAAAAUAAUUGCAUUAUAUUAGGAACUUGGGGCAAUAUCUGCUGGCAAGGUCUCCAUUGACCUUCAUUCCAAGGAAAAUGAACUCUGGGAAACCACUUGGAAUCCCUGGGGUCUCUCAAUGCUGGAAGAUUAAGGUUCUGCAUAACAAUAUAGUUAAACCAGACAAAAGGAAGGAAGGACUGGGAGGUUUGGGGAGCAGUUGUUGCCUUGGAACAGGAAUGAAAGAAGCAAAGUGUACAUUUAGGGCAGGCAUAGGCAAAUUUGGCCCUCCAGAUGUUUGGGACUACAAUUCCCAUCAUCCCUGACCACUGGUCCUGUUAGCUAGGGAUGAUGGGAGUUGUAGUAGCAAAACAUCUGGAGGGCCGAGUUUGCCUAUGCCUGGUUUAGGGUGUGUUCACGCUGUCUCUUUAGAGCACGGCGAAGUUGCAUCUGCACAGCUUCAUUAGUGCCAGAUUGGCUUCUGUCUAUGUAAACAUAGGGUUGGGGGCGGGGUUCGAUGUCUUUGCCCUGUGCAAAGGCUUCAGGACUCCCGUCAGUGUGCUGGUUUUGAGAAACCAGGCAUCAAACAGCAGCAAAAGAAAGGAAAUCCUUCUUCACCCAGCAAGUAGUUAAACUCUGGAACUCCCUCCCGCAGGAUGGCUUUAAAAAUGCAGGCUAUUAAGAGUACACUUCACACAAUGGUCUAUGGGUGUUUGCUUCUGAUUUCUUCUUGCUUUUCACUAGUUUUUAACAUUUUGUGAUGUUAUUCUUUUAUAUUGUUGUAAACUGCUGUGAUAGGCAUUUUUUCUGGGGGUACGCAGGGGUACGUAUACCCCUAAACAUUUUGCGAAUCUUUGUACUUUUAUCCAUUUACUGUAUUUAUUUUCCCCGAUUUGUACUAUAAAACGGUGGUUUUCUUGAGUAAAAAUGAGAGUGCACCUAAACAUUUUUUAAAGGAAAAAAAGCACUGAAUAUUUUUAUGAAUGAAUGAAUAGGAUUGGACCAAAUUCAUGGAGAAGGCUAUCGAUGGAGAUGAGCCUUGGUGGUUGUGCUCUGCCUUCGCGGUCAGAGGCAGCAGUGCUUUUGAAUCCCAGUUGCCAGAAGCCACAGAAGAGGAGAGUCUCUUGCAGACCCUCCAAGUGUCCCUAUUUUCCUUUUUUCAUUGGAGAAAUGUUGGAUGGUAUGGAGUUAUCCGGCUCCUCCGAGCCAUCUGAAGGCAAUCCUGUAGCUUGAAAAUAGGCACGUCCUACCAUACCCACCAACGUUUCUCUAAUGAAAAUAGGGACAUCCUAACUGAUGGUGACAGCAGCCACGAAAUUAAAAGACGCCUGCUUCUUGGGAGAAAAGCAAUGACAAACCUAGACAGCAUCUUAAAAAGUAGAGACAUCACCUUGCCAACAAAGGUCCGUAUAGUAAAAGCUAUGGUUUUCCCAGUAGUGAUGUAUGGAAGUGAGAGCUGGACCAUAAAGAAGGCUGAUCGCCGAAGAAUUGAUGCUUUUGAAUUAUGGUGCUGGAGGAGACUCUUGAGAGUCCCAUGGACUGCAAGAAGAUCAAACCUCUCCAUUCUUAAGGAAAUCAGCCCUGAGUGCUCACUGGAAGGACAGAUCCUGAAGCUGAGGCUCCAAUACUUUGGCCACCUCAUGAGAAGACUCCCUGGAAAAGACCCUGAUGUUGGGAAAGAUGGAGGGCACAAGGAGAAGGGGAUGACAGAGGACGAGAUGGUUGGACAGUGUUCUUGAAGCUACGAACAUGAGUUUGACCAAACUGCGGGAGGCUGUGGAAGACAGGAGUGCCUGGCGUGCUCUGGUCCAUGGGGUCACGAAGAGUCGGACAUGACUAAACAACAAGAAGGAAAAGUGGGACAUUCCGGGAUCAGAUCAAACGGCUUCUCUAAAUCAGGGAUGUCCCUGGAAAAUAGGGACACUUGAAGGAUCUGGGAGUGUGAACAUAGCUUUAAUUAGGACAGGCAAAAUAUGAUUACAGCCCUGGGCUGGAUUGUGUGCUUUGCGUUUUGCUCUGGGGCUUAUUGUGCCUGCAGCUUUAUAGCUACACGUGCAGAGUUAUCGAUUAAUUCUUAACAAUUAGCACCCGAUGCAGAGCCUGUUUGCUAAUCUUACUUACGCAUUUCCUGAUACUCAAAGCCAUUUCCUGUUUGUCGGCCAAGGUUGCCAGGUCUCAUGAUGCCCAUAUUCAUUUAAUUAAUUUAGCAAAUAUUUAAUUUAAUUUACAAUCUAAAUGAAACAUUUCAUUUAAUUCAAUAUUUAAUCUAUCUACAGAGCCCACGUUUGUAAAAAAAAUAAUACAGCAACAUGAAAAACAACUUUAACUUCCCCCCUUUCCCUUUCUCUUCUCUUUCUCUUUUAAAUUACAGUAUUUCCUCACUCUCUUUCUCUUCCCUUUUCCCCUUUAUCCCUGCUCUUGCUCUCUGUCUCUCUAUUUCUCUUUCUUUUCUUUCUUCUCUUUUUGGUUUGUGUUUUUAUUUAGAUUAACACUUUAGUUUUGAUCGAAAAGAUAUUUGAUAAUGAUAUUUGUAUUCCUUUCUCCAAAUUAUAAUAAAAAUUAUUUUUACAAAUCACAAUGUUACCAAAAAAAUAAAAAUAAAAAUACAAGCAACAAUAAAUAGUAGAUGGCUAAAAAAAGGUCACAGAAUCAUAGAGUUGGAAAGGACUCCAAGAGACAUCUAGUCGAACAACCUGCAAGGCAGAAAUCUCAAUUAAAGCAUCCCUGACAGAUGGCCAUCCAACCUCUGCUUAAAAACCUUGGGGGGUGGGGAGGCAAGUCUGAAACUGGAACACUGCAGAAAUCAGCCCCUCCAAACAUUUAAAAAACACACUCCCUGCUAGGGACAAAUCCCAGUGAUUUAUCACAGGUAGGUUCCAGGAAAUCAGAAGUGUCCUUGUUAAGCAGAGACCCCUGGAGCAAAUGUCUUACCUUCCAGAUCAGGUUGGGAGGUGUGGCAGUCACCAAAGAUCUAUUGAAUGUCCUGCAAGAUGAAGUGGUAAAAUUGCUGCUUGGUCCGUUGAGAACAACAGCCCCCCUCAGCUGGAAAAACUCCCCAGGAUAAUGGUUCAGAAGGUCCCUGCUUUGAAUGAGAUACCAAUCAGCAACUGGCAGCCCCACUGGCAGCUCAGCGUAUUGUUGCAAAUGCACCUGUGCUUUCAGCUCCAUUAUUCACCUGGGAACAGGUGCAUCCCGAGGUUGAGUAAAUAAUAACACAAUAACGGGUCAGUGUACACACUGGCAAGGAAACACCCAAACUGAGGGGCCACCUGUGCUAUACAUUUAAGACGGUAUCAUACCACUUGAAAUGUUCAUGGCUUCCCACCCCGACUCCUGGAAACUGUAAUUUGAUGGGGGGCACCCUGGGUGGGAAGUAGGGAAAUGUUGGUCUGCCAGGAUGAGAGAAAAAAGGAAAGAUCCCAGAUGUGUCAAGCUAUGUGUGGCAGAGCAACUGCAAUCGCUCUCUAAGGCUUCUUGGAUAGAAAGUUGUAAUAAAUUGCUUCAAAAAUUAUGUUUUGAUCCACUGACCUUCCUGUCAUCUAAUGUGCAUUCUAGCCGAAGGUUUAUUUUCAGGAUCUAUUGGCCAAAUGGGAUACGGAAACAGUGAUGGUAUCUAGAUUCUCCACAACCUAUCCUGUCAAAAAGAACAAGUUUGGAACUGAGAAAGAUCUAUGCCAGUGAAAUAUCCAGACAAUGAAAAGCAACUUCCUGGAAGGGCGAUAUAAAAACAUUCCCAAAGAACAUGCCUGUGCAGUUGUGGAUGUCAGCCAAUUUAGGACCCCAUUCAUUGUAUGUUGUACUGUAAGCUAUAUGAAAUUCUGAGGGCUAAAUAUUUAAAGAAACCCCCUUCAGUGACAUUGAUAAAAUCAAUUACCUGCUGUCUAG